AAAUUUCCUGACUCCGCCUCUGCUUCAAUUUCAUUGGUUGAAUCUGUAAACCAAUCAUUUUCCUUUCUGCCCUCAGAACAUGUUUGAGUCCUAGGCGACACACGCACAUGUCCUGUGAGAGAGAUGUCAAUAGUUGUGGAACUCCAGAUUUCAUCCACUCUGAAGAUGCAGAUAUACACCUCUAAUGAAGGACACCAGUGGUUUGUUAUCCUGCCCUCUCCUCACCAGUCUAAAGGAUGAACAUCUUUCAACUCAAUUUGAGCUGUGUGGCUCAACAGGCAGAAUGUGAGGUGAUUAUUAAACACCAGUGCAAUCUCCCCAGCCUGGAUAAAGCUGGAUAAAGGGAACAGGUAUGUGGUAGAAUCCUGUUUUCUCCUCCACACCAUCCUCCACUUCUUCAUUACAGACUGCGGCAUGGCACCUACUUGAAAGUCCACACGCAUCUCCCGCUCUCCGUGCUCCUGCGCAACCAGGAAUACCUUUAUUAAAUCAGAAAGGGAAGAAAUCUAAUUUAGGCUUGAUAUCAUGAACAGCAAUGUCCCUCGUCUGCCAUGAUUUCUUGUGAGAACAUUUUUC
ensembl:lncRNA